UACGGAGGGUGCGAGCGUUGUCCGGAAUCACUGGGCGUAAAGAGCUCGUAGGCGGUCUGUCGCGUCGGAUGUGAAAAUCCAGGGCUCAACCCUGGACCUGCAUUCGAUACGGGCAGACUAGAGUUCGGCAGGGGAGAACGGAAUUCCUGGUGUAGCGGUGAAAUGCGCAGAUAUCAGGAGGAACACCGGCGGCGAAGGCGGUUCUCUGGGCAUGUCCUGACGCUGAGGAGCGAAAGUGUGGGGAGCGAACAGG
rnacentral:rRNA from 1 species